ensembl:lncRNA
CUUUGAGGCUCAGUCUGUGCGUGGAAAUUUUGAUGACCUGACAGUGACCAGGCUUUUGUUGCACCAAUUAAAAAUCUUCUUAACAGCUUUUUGACAUUGAUGACUUGAACUGAAGACAAGCGCUGAGUCUUGUACCGAAGAGCAAGAGUGAUACACGUAUCGGCUUUGCCACCACAUCGCGGCCCCGCAGCUGGCUGCAGAGCCUGCCAAGCAGCCAGCAGCUGCUGCUGCUGCAGGAGAAAAUGUUUUCUACAGCUGAGCAGCUGGGGCCUGUGACUGCCAUGCAAAGGCCGGAAAUAAUAGUUCAAAAUGGUGAGGAAAAAGAAGAGAGAAAAGAGGCAAAGGGAAAAGGAAGACUGAGAGAAGUAAACAAACAGAAGGAAGAGAUGGGAAGAUGGUAGAGAAUUCCCGUAGAAGGACCCUCACUGAGAGAGGUAUAGCUUUGAUUCUUUCAGGGAGUAUUAACAGUUCAUGCGUAAGUAAACUUAUAUCUCUUCUUUCUUGCUACACCUCAAAAUCCUUUUUUCACUUUUUAGUAGAAUGUAGUAACUUCACUGCAAUCAAAUUACUUUUCCUUCUCUCCUUGAUAUGCAACCAAAUGCUUGGUGAGUUUAAAAUACAUUUUAUUUACUUGUAUCCAGUUUAAAAUCAAGUUGACUGCAGCAAUUUUUUGUCAUUAGCGAUCACAAAUGUAUUGUUUUAAUGUGAUACCUUUUAUAUUUAAUUGAUAAACUAAAUAUGAAGAUACAAGAAUAAAUUUGAUAAGAGCCUCACUUUUUUCCAAUGUGCAGUCAUAAUUCUGUGCUUUGGAAAGUGUGAUUCAACUAAAAAAAAUUCCCACUCAUCACUGAAAUGAAGCUAUCUCUAAGGCAGUAUGACAGCCAUUUAGUAAUUCAUCUAAUGCAAUACAAAAGAUCUGGAGAAAGAAAUCAUGUAUGGAAAACAGUCCUUCCUCGUGUAAACAUACAAUGUUGCUAUACAACC